GCUGUAUCGAUUGUUGAGAUCUGGCGACUUGUUUAAAUUUCAUCAGCCUCACUUCUAUGAACUCUCAGGCCUCACGUGUACCAGCUCUCUGCUCUCCUUUGCCUUGGGACGUUCCAUCCCUGGAAGUUUCCCUGCCCACAUCUUUGUAGAGAGUCCAUUCUCCAAGCUUCAGUGUGUCAUCUGUGAGGACCGUGACCCACCUGGUACAUCGCCUCAGGGCAUUCAUUUCAGGCUCCUUCUAAAUGGCCAAGUCUUCUGCCAGCCUAACAAGCAUAGCAAGAAGAUAUAGCCCCACAACCACUUUAUGCACAAAGUUAGAAGCAUAAAAUCUCAUGGAAGGAGACCGAUUAUCUACAGAAGAGGUUGUCUUGCCAUUUCUCUCAUGUUAGAGGUAAACCUCAGGUUCUCCUCCUGCCUUUUGCUAAGUAUAUGUCUUGAUGACAAGCCUUCUGCUGAUGAGCUGUGUUUCUGGACCGAUCAUGGUAGAAGUCAAUUAACGUGUCCCUCACUUGGGGUUUCUCAAGGUCAUCUAUGAACUGACUCUGUCUCAAAAAAAAAAAGAAAAAAAAGAAAAGAAAGAAUGAAAAAAAAAACUAGGACAUGGCUAACAGGAAUGGGGACAAAGAAUCUGCACUGAUGAGGAAACUGAAACAGAAAAUCCAGAGUAAAUUCCACCAGGCCACACAGCAAGGUCUGAUAGAGCCAGGAGAGACUUUAUGAAAUCCAGACUCUCACACUAAUGCUCUAUCAGCUAGACCUCCAUGUGAGUCUCCCCAAUGUAGGUAGGAAGUGCUUUCCC
rnacentral:lncRNA from 10 species